CCUACGGGGGGCUGCAGUGAGGAAUAUUGGUCAAUGGGCGAGAGCCUGAACCAGCCAAGUCGCGUGAGGGAGUACUGCCCUAUGGGUUGUAAACCUCCUUUGUCGGGGAGCAAAAGCCGGACGUGUCCGGCUGUGAGAGUACCCGAAGAAAAAGCAUCGGCUAACUCCGUGCCAGCAGCCGCGGUAAUACGGAGGAUGCGAGCGUUAGCCGGAUUUAUUGGGUUUAAAGGGUGCGCAGGCGGAUUUUUAAGUCAGCGGUAAAAUCGUGGGGCUCAACCCCAUCCAGCCGUUGAAACUGGGGAUCUAGAGUGUGCGAGAGGUAUGCGGAAUGCGUGGUGUAGCGGUGAAAUGCAUAGAUAUCACGCAGAACCCCGAUUGCGAAGGCAGCAUACCGGUGCACAACUGACGCUCAGGCACGAAAGCGUGGGUAUCGAACAGGAUUAGAUACCCCAGUAGUC
rnacentral:rRNA from 1 species